UCUUUGAUGGUCUAACGGUUAUGAUUUCCGCUUGUCACGCGGGAGACCGGGGUUCGACUCCCCGUCAGAUAG
rnacentral:tRNA from 1 species